UAUAAUCUCGCCCGUUCUGGUGCCCGCGCAUGGCUUCUGCUCAUGCGCAGUUAAACGGGAAACACGAGGCCAAGGCGCUACGCGCCCGCGCCAAGAUGUGCUGCCCCCGCAACGGUCAACAAGCGCCGCCCGCGCCUGACAGGACCCCCAUGGCUGCGUUGCAUUCGUCUCGCCGUACUUACGUACUGUCUUCGACGAUGCGCCUUGCCCUGGGGGUCCUGUCAGGCGCGGAUGUGGCAGGCUGCUCCGAUAACCACUGUGCGAUCACGCGCAGGAAGGUGGGGCGGUCAGUCUUGCGAGCCCGGAUACCGGCCAGACAGGUGGAAGCGCCC
rnacentral:ncRNA from 1 species